UGAAAGGGCCAGGAGGCAGUAAAAGAACUGUGAACACAAGACAUCCAUCAGACCUGACAUAAAGAAGGCAGACUCUAAAAAUUAGAGAAGAGGCAAUGGAGCUCUUGAUUAGAUGGUGAGGCAGGGAAAGGGUUUGGGAUCAUUCCUUCAUCCCUGAGGUUGAAAGAUAUGUGAGUGAGAGAUUUGGCAGCUUUAAAAGAGACCUGAAGCAGAAGGAGUAGGUUGUGACUCCCUUGAAGACAAGGCGACAAAAAAAGUGAAGUCGUGGUGAGAUCCUGAUAAAGGGCCAGAAGAAAUGUGAUGGCGAGUACCACAUGGCCAAGCGCUGAUGAGUCCUUUUGCUACGUGUUCCUAAAUGAAUGAGACGUGAGCGAUGGAUGGAGACACUAAAGCGGACUAUGGGACUGAGUUGUAUGCAGAUUUGAAAAAAAUAUCAAAGGAAAAAGAAUGUCACUUAUUCUGGUAGCUUGCGAUCUAGAAGAACAGACUGGAUGGCUGCCCCAUGGAAAUGUGGAGAAACACGAGUUCAUGUUCUGCUUGCUCAACUGCAUGGUUCAUGUUGACUUCUUGGAGGAGAUGGCUCUAAAGUGGAUGCACAAGUGAGCGGGUUAAGAAUGCACCCUAACAGGAUGGGUAAAGUGCACUUCCUUGGCUGGAGCAGCAACAGAAAUGACAAAGUCUUUAUGCCUGCUAACCUUUCUGCUUCCCCUUCUUCCAUUGCACUGUGAGCAACAUCACAGCUUCCAGUAAAUGAUUUAUGUAGCUGUAUCUUUAAGAGGCUGUAUUUUU
rnacentral:lncRNA from 1 species